AGGGACGGCUCCGACGGCUUCUGACGCCACACCGAGAUCAAUUGCACAGACGACGGCUUCGUCGCGCUCGCCAACAUGAAGCUGCCAGAGUUGGCGUCGGCCCGAGCUCGCCCCCGCCCCGACCGAGCUCCGCGCCGCGCCGCCCGCCUCCCGCUCGCUCUCGCGCUGGCUGGACAGCGUGCUGUUGGGCAUGAGCGACUAGUCACCCCGGCCACAAGAUGUCGUUCUUCGUCCUGGCCUCCUGGGUUUCUGGGAUUUCUUCGACGGCAUCGACAAGCCUGCUGCUCAGAAGAAGGUUAGCAAACGGAUUGCGCGCUCCUCUCAAUAGCAUGAAGAUUCUGGCCAUCACUGUGACGUUCUCAAGCAAGGAGAACAUGGAAUCAGUGAUGAACUUACUCAAGUGCUUUCCCUUCCUAGAGACGUUGCAUAUCCAGAGCCGCCUCAAUACUCUGUCCAGGCGGCCACCUUCAUACACUUCCAGCCCCUGAAAGAUCAGAGUCCUUGCCGAGCUUUUUGAUAGCAGUUUCUCAGCCAAGUAAGUUUGCUUUAUAAUUGAAAUGGAAAAAAUGGAUGUAACUAAAUUAGGGAAGUUGUGGAUGUGUUACUUUGUAAGCUUUGCCAAGGUAUAAAUGAUUUACAGAAGCUAUUUUCACAACUAAGAUAGUUCUGAAUCUUACAUUGGAAAUUGGAAGACUUCGCUAGUCUUCCUUCUCCAAAGCCUUCAGGAGCGUUUAAGUCAUCCAUGAUUAACUUUUUUUUAUUUUGUGGCUUCUGUAGCUUGAUUUUCAAAUUUCAAGAGCAUUUCUUCUUUCGCGAUGUAGAUUGAUAUUUGGUGCAAAAGUUUAUGUUUGAUCUAUGGUAUAGGGCAUGGAAGCUAUUUCUAGGGAACCUGACAGCCAUUUAAUUGUUUUCCUUUGAAAAAGAUAAUGAUAGUUUUCAGCUUAAGAAAACAUACUUGUAUUUUUUAUUUAUUCCUUUGGAUUGAGGACCUUACUAGCGUACAUUCAUUCUCCUUCCUCACGAUACUUCUUUCCCUAUUGUGUAUGGUGACUAUGCCUUCCGACCAGAUUCUGAAACUUGCUAUUUACAAACGGCUUCUUAAUUGAAUAUCUACAGGGCACAUGCCAUGAUGUUAAUGUGCAGUGCUGCAAUUAGUUAUUUUGCUUCAUAAUAUAUAUUUAUAACUAAUACAAAAUGGUAAUUACAGAUUUGUGGUAGGUGACCUAUAAAUAUAUGCUUAGCUGCAAUGAAAUGCUACCAAGCAUUAUGCCAACAGAACAGGAUGUCCGAAGAAAGAAGACUUUUGUCAGUAUGCAGGAGAUUGUUUAUUUGUUUUCGUCCUUAUAAAGAUGACUACAGCUCGUAUAAACAUAGAUUUACUAGACUGAACAUGAGGAAGCAAUGACGAGUUGCUGGGAAAUGACAGUUUUCAUAUCAGUUAUUAUAUGGUAAAGAAGUUUAAAUCAUCACUCUAUCGAUUUGGUAGACAGAACAAGAGGAAGCAACAGCGAGAUCAGUUAUUAUAUGAUAAAGAAGCGUAUAUCAUCACUCAAUCAGUCAUGUGUUAAAGAGCUGACUUCAUACACUGCAUCGUCUAUUUUUAGAGUUAUUGCACCCUAUGAAUUCACAGAGAAACUCAAAGUAGGAACUGGCUGGUUCUAUAAUAGUAUCCCCGAAUGAUUAAUGGGUUGAUACAUUUUAAUCUAUGUAUGCAAGUCUACUACCUUUUGUAGAUGUUUGUCCUAGAAAAAUUAAUUACAAUGUCCACAAUAUGUCUGAAUGUUGUGGUUCAUGGAGCGUUUUAAGACAAACGAUCUGCUUUUACUUGAAAAACUAAUAUAAAGCCUCUAUUGUUUAUAUAAUGCCUUAAAGAUUUAUGGUGCUUUGAAUUAUAUCUUAUAACAAAAAACUACUUGGGUGAUCUAUCUGCACAUUGUUUCGUUAAAUGCAACCAAACAGAGUUUCUAUUCCUACAACUAUUUCUAUCAAAAUAUUGAGUUCCACGUUGAAUGGGGAAGACCAAUGAGAAAACUGUCAGAAAUCCUUAUGUACAUAUGGACUGUAUUCAAAGGAUAUUAUGUUUUCUACACAUAAGUUGAACAUCCAAAAAAGCCAAACUUGAAAUGUGCACAAUGUUUUAGAAAUGAAAUGUUUCUAAUGAGAGGCUCAGAGAUUUUCCCUGCUUGGUUGAACUAGUACAUAAGUGAGAUAACUUCCAUAUGAGACAAAGGUGUCAUUGGCAAGUUCUUCCUUGAUUUGAUAAGAAAGUCAUUGGAUGACAAAAAACUGUAAAGCAGAGCUAGUGGAUGAUAGUUCAACACAUGAAACCAACUCUUACUAAAGAUAGUAUGACAAGGUUCAUACGAGUUUAGAUUCUUAUAAUUUCUUAGAUUGCAGAUUCCAGUUGGAUUCUGACUUUUACCUGAAGUGAUGAUUUGAAAUUCAGGGCUCAACUUUUGGAUUUGGCAACUGCAUUGAUGCCUGAUUUGGUUGCAAAGUCUAUGAGCAUGCAAUUCAGUUCUGUGAAGCCUGCAAUUAAGAUGCUUGAAAUGACAAGAAGGGUGUACACCAGUUCUUUGUCAUGGUACUAAUAUUUAUUCCAAUUGUCUUGGCCCCUACCAGUCCUACUUGCUCAGCAAUUACCCAGGUGAUUAGUUAUUCCAUGAUUUAUGAGAUCACUUUGCUAUCUUCUGAUCGUAUACAUUUGCUAAAUUUGCUGUAAGUUCCUAUCCCAUCUGACUCAUAGACUUGAUAAUUAUGCUUUGAAGAUCAUAUAUGUGAAU